rnacentral:lncRNA from 1 species
CUCUGGAGCUGCGCUCCUCGGGCGCCCGCCUGCCCUUCCUCCUCCUUCCGCAGAACUGCGACUUGUUUUUGAGGUCGCUGGUGGCGAGUAACUAUAUGGGACUCCAAAUGGAAGCGCAGUUAGCGCAGGACUGAGUAAUGGCGGGGAUCUGCUACCCAAGUUCGGAGUAUGCCUUUGCGCCAGUGUCCUUUCAGCCUCACUUUUCCCCUAAGAGCUAGGCUAGGGCAGGAGCGCUGGGUCGGAGAUCGCGAGCGCAGCUAGGGCGUGCAGCGAGCGCCCAGCCAACCCCCCCCCCCCCCGCUUCCGGGUGCUGCUAUAGUCCCCUAAACCAUCCACUUGGCUCCCUUCGGCCGGCGGUAAUGAUCCCCAGGACCCUGUCGGCUCUUGUUCUUGUCUGCCUUGGAGGUGCGCUCUCUUUGGCCAAACUGACCUUGACUUCUGAGUCCCGAGUGGCAGAAAGUUGUGGGAGAAACUGGGACAAAAAUGAUCUAGGGUUGCUCCUGCCUGUGUCUUCCUCAACCGGUUUGUGGGUUUUGAGGUGCUCGUGGUAGACUGUUAGGUUUAAGUGUAUGCCUGAGAGGAGAGCCUUGGAGCUCCCUCAGGCCUCUGCCCGCUCUCAAUACCCCAGUAUCACCGUGGGCUCCCCAGAGAGUUCCUGAGUGUGAUGUUGGGAUGUGUUGAUAGCGUGUUCCCAAAUCACUGGAUGUGCUCUUCCGGGGUUCGAAGGAUACAGCCAACUGCAGGACGUGGUGUUAUGAAGUCUCCUCUUCCCUAGGCAGUCAGAGGGUUCUUUGGCCUUUCCACCUGUGAGAUGCCCACUCCUGCUUUGAUCUUAGACACUUUCCCAUUUCCUACUUCUGCAGGAAAAUCUCCAGAAGGAAGAAGGGCAGCCAUGGAUUUUUGAAGGCUAGGGAAAGAGCCAACGGGCUCCAUAGUUGUGAAUUGCGGAGAAAGCACGGUCCCUCAAAUUGGGCUGCCCUGGUAUCUAAAGUUUGUGCUUCCCGAACUAUUCUUAAACACAAGUUUCCUAGUAAAAUUAUAACCAGAGA